UUAGUUGAAGCCAAAAUAGAGGCCUUUCAUUGUUAAUGAAAAAAUUGGGCUUUAUACUACCCCAACUAAA
rnacentral:tRNA from 2 species